ensembl:miRNA
AAAAGUUUGUUCAGGUUUCUGUAAGAUGGUGCAAAACCCUGAACGAACUUUUUGG